rnacentral:rRNA from 1 species
UACAGAGGCCCCAAGCGUUACUGAGAAUCACUGGGUUUAAAGGGUGCGUAGGUGGUCCGUUAAGUUCGUUGUGAAAUCCCUGGGCUCAACCCAGGAAAUGCUUCGAAUACUGGCGGACUUGAGGCUAGUAGGGGUCACUGGAACUGACGGUGGAGCGGUGAAAUGCGUAGAUAUCGUCAGGAACGCCAAUGGUGAAGACAGGUGACUGGGCUAGUUCUGACACUGAGGCACGAAAGUCAGGGGAGCAAACGGG